AUGCUCGCAUCAGCAGCACAUAUACUAAAAUUGGAAUGAUACAGAGAAGAUUAGCAUGGCCCCUGCGGAAGGAUGACAAACGCAAGUUCGUGUAGUGUUCCAUAUUUUU